GACGAACGCUGGCGGUGUGCUUAACACAUGCAAGUCGUGCGACGAACCAGACUUCGGUCUGGGGCAAAGCGGCGAACGGGUGAGUAACACGUGGGUAAUCUGCCCCGAUGACUGGGACAACCCGAGGAAACUCGGGCUAAUACCGGAUGUGGUGCCUGGACUCAAGUCCGGUCACUAAAGGUAGCUUCGGCUUCCGCAUUGGGAGGGGCCCGCGGCCCAUUAGCUUGUUGGUGGGGUCAAGGCCUACCAAGGCAACGAUGGGUAGCUGGUCUGAGAGGACGAUCAGCCACACUGGGACUGAGACACGGCCCAGACUCCUACGGGAGGCAGCAGUGGGGAAUCUUGCGCAAUGCGCGAAAGCGUGACGCAGCAACACCGCGUGAGGGAAGACGGCCUUAGGGUUGUAAACCUCUUUCAGAUGGGACGAAGGUGAUGCGGUGAAUAGCCGAUGUCAUUGACGGUACCGUCAGAAGAAGCUCCGGCUAACU
rnacentral:rRNA from 1 species